CAGAAACGUCAAAGAGAACAGUGGAGAGGAGGAGGAGAAUCAGCUGAAGAUCUUAGAGGAUGAAGAGCUUUACGCUGAACUCAAGCCACAAAGAGCCAGACCACGCAAUCCUGCAGCCUGCAACAGAAGGUGCUUCAGAGCUACUGCAGUGACUCUGGGAGGGUUUUAUCUUCUGGUAUUGGCUGGACUCUUCGUUCGCUUCACUUUGCUGCAGACCAGAUACGA